CGCCUUCCCGCAGCCCCAUGUGGACGUGUGCUGGUCUCCCGGCAGGUGCGUCUCAGGCCCUGAGCAUCCUGUCUUUGCGUGGCCCCAACCUUCCCAGCGGCUCCUCCCGCCCUCAAUCACCUCCGAUCUCCAGUGCACCCCACAUCCUGUUCCACUCGGGGAGCCAGACCUCCCCCAGACUCUCGGCGCUCUGACGUGCGGAGGGGGCAGAGAGAGAGACAGCGAGAGCAGGAACCCAAGCAGGGGGAGCGGGAGAGGGAGAAGCAGGCUUCCCGCUGAGCAGGGAGCCCGAUGUGGGACUCGAUCCCAGGACCCUGGGAUCAUGACCUGAGCUGAAGGCAGACUAACGACUGAGCCACCCAGGCGCCUGGGAGCAAGGUGUCUUUUGGGAGUGAUGAAAUAUUCUGCAAUUACAUAGUGGAGACGGUUGCACAACCUUAUGAAUGGCCCCAGACACACUGGAUCAUAGACGUGCAAAUGGCGAGUUCUAUGGCAAAGCUGGAGGCUGAAAGAAACGAAAACUCAAAUCCCAGCUUCUGUGCUGACCGGCACAACCUUUCCAGACAGAAUCUUAGCGUUUCUCAGAUCAGCGGCGACGCUGCGGGUCUGGCUGGGGGUGACGUCUGCUCAAGAAUCAGCAGAAGCACUGGGAUUACCCCCAGCUCCGUCCCACGGGGCGCAUGCUCGUCUACGCGGCGCCUCGGAUGCGCGGGAAAUACACGUGCUUCGGCACUGAAAGUUGCCUUGGAAGAGCUGGGAAUCUGUUCCACAGUGGAAUCGGACUAAUGGUGCUUAUUUUUCUUCGGGGCGUGUAUUUAUUUGACUGUUUCACACCACUUGUCAAUUUCUAAGCCAUUAAUAAUUUUUAUGCCUCUUUCAGAUGUGUGUAUAUAGUACAAGUGUGUUUGAUUUCCUGCGGUCUCUCUGCAUUUACACGGUGCUGAAUGAUGGUGUGUGUAACAUGCCAGUUUACCAUCGCAGCCCCAGCUGAAGUUUAAUUCUUGAGCACACACGCGUUGACCGCCUUGCAUAGUUCCCGCCUGUCUCCAUGGCGCGAGCAGCCCCCGGGUUGGGGUGUUAAUGCCGGGACCAUCAGCCGUCACGGGGACGCAGCCCCCGAUGUCUACUGCUGUUUACGGUCGCUCCCCUGGGCCAGGUUCUGAUCCCUCAGCGGAGAACGCUCGGGUUGCUCUGGGAGAGACGUACCAUUUGGGGGGUCGUCUUAGAGAAUCAGGGUGGUACUUCCUAGGGGUUGAUUGGGGACAUUUUACGAAAGCCGGGUUCUGACGGCCGGCCGGGUUUGGACUGGAAGCAAUAGAAAGAGGGAACCUUCCUUAACUGGGUGCGAGAAGCCCGGGCUGGGGCAGAAACGGGCUCUCGCUGGCCUCCUGGGAGCUGGGGCUGGACUCCCAAGGGCGCAGGCUCACGCGUCACCGGGCGCGUCCUGUGAUUUAGGAGCUGGUGGGGUGGACGGGAUCAGCUUCGAGACGCCGGUGCCCUCCCAUAUCUGCUGGCCAGUGGUCAUUCCCCUAAACAGUCUGAAGACUCUUGUGUGCCUCGUUGUAUCCGCAAACCACCUGAACCGCACUUGCAGACCUCAGCUGCCUGGGAGCAAGGCUUCAUCCUGAGCGUGGCCUGAAGUGUCUGGUACUUUGUUAGCUCUCUUUCUCAUUUAAGAGAGACAAGUGGGGUGGCCCCGACUAUAACCGAAUUAUAAACUGUCUUCCGUAGACUCUUUUUAAAAAAUGGUGGUAAAUGCCCAUGACCUAAAGGUUCCCACCUGAACCACUUCUCUGACCAUCGCCAUCCAUCUCCAGAACCUUUUCAUCUCCCCCAUAUGAAACCGUCCCUGCUAAACACUAACUCCUGGGCCCCCGGGGCCCAGCCCUGGUGCCCACCAUCUGCUUUCUGCCUAUGAACUUGACUCCAGGGGCAUCGUCAGCCCCGUUUGUCUUUCUGUGUCUGGCUGUUUCCAUCAGCUUUGUCCGUGUGUCGCAGGGCAGGAUUUCCGUUUUUCUAAGCCACACGAUGCUCAGCGUGUGCGUCCCGCUCUUUGGUAGGCUUGAGACCACAAACCCAGAUCCAUCCAGGUAUGUUGCCAGAGCCACCCCUGACGCCACCAGCUCUCCUCCACCCUCCCCUGCCCCUGACCAGUGGGACCCGGUCGAGGCCAGGCUGCCGGGUGACAGCCUGGAAGUGAAGGGGACAAGGGCCACACCGGGAUAUGGAGCCAGGGCGUCCGUCGUACCUGCCCUUCCUUUCCCCAGGAUCCAGGGAUGGGCGCCCACGUCCUCGGGUGGUGUUCCUGGUUGAGAACUACCAGAGGCCAGUAUCUGGAGGGCGACCUGCAGACUCCGGCUACAGCGGUGUGUUAUUUUGCCGGCCAGUGUUUGAAUCUCUCUCCUGCCCUGAAUGGCGCUCAGGGCUUCGGUCACGCGCCGGUUUCAUCGGUGCGUCCUGCAGAGCAUCUGCAUUCUACCACACUUGGGAUAAACGUCAAGGAUCGCUGUUACUAUUAUACCAGAUCUGAUGUUCCAAGAGCCCCCUGGAAGUUACCGUAAUGGCUCAUCCCUCCAGGUGUUCUAUACACAGCGGGCGGUUUUGCUAGAAAACUGUCGUCUUUGCACGAGAAGCGAAGUGAAGGCCUUGCAGUGAACUCUCACUAACGUACGUGCU